CAGUAACGGCGAGUGAAGCGGGCAAAGCUCAACCUGAAAAUCGGAUAUCCAAGCGGGUGUUCGAAUUGUGGGCUAGAGACGCAUGAUCAGUGUGUGACCUAAGUAUAAAUCUUUUGAAACAAGGUAUCACAGAGGGUGAGAAUCCCGUCUUUGACUUAGAGUUUCGCCACGUACGAUCUGUGUUCAUAGAGUCGAGUUGUUUGGGAUUGCAGCUCUAAAUGGGUGGUAAAUUUCAUCUAAAGCUAAAUAUCGACGAGAGACCGAUAGCGAACAAGUACCGUGAGGGAAAGAUGAAAAGAACUUUGAAAAGAGAGUUAAAAAGUACGUGAAAUUGUUGAAAGGGAAGCGCCUGCAACCAGACUUGCGCGCGGCCGAACAUCCGGUGUUCUCACCGGUGCACUCGGCCGUGCUCAGGCCAGCAUCGGUUUUGGCGGCUGGAUAAAGGCCCUAGGAAUGUAGCUCCCCCGGGAGUGUUAUAGCCCUAGGUGUAAUACGGCCAGCCCGGACUGAGGUCCGCG
rnacentral:rRNA from 1 species